GGGGUUGUAGCUCAGUGGUAGAGUGCUUGCCUGGCAUGCGCAAGGCACUGGGUUCGAUCCUCAGCACCA
rnacentral:tRNA from 1 species